CUCCCCCCAAGCCUCGGGUUUCCACCCAAUUACCUCUCCUAUCACCCCCUUCCCAGUUGCCCCCGCUACAGCUACCCCUGAGGCUAUUCUUCACCGUGGUACAAUAGUGCCCGAGGAGGUCGUUAUGGUGGACCAGAGCCAACCCCCACUGGGGGGGGAAAGGCUUCCCCAACGGCACUCACUUCCCCAGGGGUAUACUCAGAUCAACCAUGGGGCGGAUGGCGCACCACCUAUGUAC